GAUGAACGCUGGCGGCGUGCCUAACACAUGCAAGUCGAGCGAACAGACGAGGAGCUUGCUCCUUUGACGUUAGCGGCGGACGGGUGAGUAACACGUGGAUAACCUACCUAUAAGACUGGGAUAACUUCGGGAAACCGGAGCUAAUACCGGAUAACAUGUUGAACCGCAUGGUUCAACAGUGAAAGACGGUCUUUCUGUCACUUAUAGAUGGAUCCGCGCCGCAUUAGCUAGUUGGUAAGGUAACGGCUUACCAAGGCAACGAUGCCUAGCCGACCUGAGGGGGGGAUCGGCCCCGGUGGAGGUGAGAGGCGGUCCAGACUCCGACGGGAGGCAGCGGUAGGGAAUCUUCCGCAAUGGGCGAAAGCCUGACGGAGCAACGCCGCGUGAGUGAAGAAGGGCUUCGGAUCGGAAAACUCUGUUAUUAGGGAAGAACAAAUGUGUAAGUAACGAUGCGCGUCUUAACGGUACCGAAUAAGAAGGCCACGGCUAACUACGU
rnacentral:rRNA from 1 species